rnacentral:rRNA from 1 species
AACGAACGCUGGCGGCAGGCCUAACACAUGCAAGUCGAGCGAAGCCUUCGGGCUUAGCGGCGGACGGGUGAGUAACGCGUGGGAACGUGCCCUUUGGUACGGAAUAGCCGCGGGAAACUGGGAGUAAUACCGUAUGUGGUCGAGAGACGAAAGAUUUAUCGCCAAAGGAUCGGCCCGCGUUGGAUUAGGUGGUUGGUGGGGUAAUGGCCUACCAAGCCGACGAUCCAUAGUUGGGUUGAGAGGAUGAGCAGCCACACUGGGACUGAGACACGGCCCAGACUCCUACGGGAUGCAGCAGUGGGGAAUCUUAGACAAUGGGGGAAACCCUGAUCUAGCCAUGCCGCGUGAUCGAUGAAGGCCUUAGGGUUGUAAAGAUCUUUCAGUGGGGAAGAUAAUGACUGUACCCACAGAAGAAGCCCCGGCUAACUCCGUGCCAGCCGCCGCAGUAAAAC